CCUACGGGAGGCAGCAGUGAGGAAUAUUGGUCAAUGGCCGAGAGGCUGAACCAGCCAAGUCGCGUGAGGGAGGACGGCCCUACGGGUUGUAAACCUCUUUUGUCGGGGAGCAAAGAGAGUCACGUGUGACUCGUUGAGAGUACCCGAAGAAAAAGCAUCGGCUAACUCCGUGCCAGCAGCCGCGGUAAUACGGAGGAUGCGAGCGUUAUCCGGAUUUAUUGGGUUUAAAGGGUGCGCAGGCGGAGGUGCAAGUCAGCGGUCAAAUUGCGGGGCUCAACCCCGUACUGCCGUUGAAACUGCAUCCCUUGAGUGCGCGAGAAGUAAGCGGAAUGCGGGGUGGAGCGGGGAAAUG
rnacentral:rRNA from 1 species